rnacentral:lncRNA from 1 species
AAAGCUUCCUCUCCAAUGCGCCUCGAGACAACGGAAUUAGUGGAGGAAAGGAGAAAAGGGUUGAGGGAGUUAGUUCGAGGCAGUACUUCAGGUGGGUGGAGUGGAGAUACAUGGUGCUGGCUACGUGCGUGGAGAAGACGACGCUGUGGACAGGGACAACAACGCUAGAUCAAAUCGAAUCCUGAGUGCGCCAAUCUCGUCAUCAAUCAGAUGGCUUGUCGAGUCCACCCGGUGUGUUCCAGAAGCUGUCCUUGCGGUUGGAAUUAGUGCCGAUUUGCUCAGAUAGACCCGAGGUGUAAGUUCCACUUUAAAGCCGAUCCCCCGUGAAUUUAUUCCAUUUUUUCGGGUUAGUUUUAGUUGGAAGUUAAAUACGGAAUUGGAUUAGAAGUAAAUCAAAAAAACUCUUGGACGGGGUACAGGAACCUCGUCCAAGUAGUCCUGGUGUCGGUUGUCCCUAAGACAAUUAUGCCAUCCAACGGUCCACGGACCUCCUCGAGGCCUUUCAAAAGGGCUGCUUCUUAAUUUCCAGAAAACAUUAAUAUGUACUGUAAAGCCCUCAGUUCUCAUAAACUUUCUGAUCCACAUGAUCUACAAAGUCAUAAGCGAAGAGAAUACUUGUGAAACCCAUUUAUUGUAUUGAACUAACGGU